rnacentral:rRNA from 1 species
GCUAGCUACAGGCUUAACACAUGCAAGUCGAGGGGCAGCAUGGUCUUAGCUUGCUAAGGCCGAUGGCGACCGGCGCACGGGUGAGUAAUACGUAUCCAACCUGCCGUCUACUCUUGGACAGCCUUCUGAAAGGAAGAUUAAUACAAGAUGGCAUCAUGAGUCCGCAUGUUCACAUGAUUAAAGGUAUUCCGGUAGACGAUGGGGAUGCGUUCCAUUAGAUAGUAGGCGGGGUAACGGCCCACCUAGUCUUCGAUGGAUAGGGGUUCUGAGAGGAAGGUCCCCCACAUUGGAACUGAGACACGGUCCAAACUCCUACGGGAGGCAGCAGUGAGGAAUAUUGGUCAAUGGGCGAGAGCCUGAACCAGCCAAGUAGCGUGAAGGAUGACUGCCCUAUGGGUUGUAAACUUCUUUUAUAAAGGAAUAAAGUCGGGUAUGGAUACCCGUUUGCAUGUACUUUAUGAAUAAGGAUCGGCUAACUCCGUGCCAGCAGCCGCGGUAAUACGGAGGAUCCGAGCGUUAUCCGGAUUUAUUGGGUUUAAAGGGAGCGUAUAUGGAUAUUUAAGUCAGUUGUGAAAGUUUGCGGCUCAACCGUAAAAUUGCAGUUGAUACUGGAUAUCUUGAGUGCAGUUGAGGCAGGCGGAAUUCGUGGUGUAGCGGUGAAAUGCUUACAUAUCACGAAGAACUCCGAUUGCGAAGGCAGCCUGCUAAGCUGCAACUGACAUUGAGGCUCGAAAGUGUGGGUAUCAAACAGGAUUAGAUACCCUGGUAGUCCACACGGUAAACGAUGAAUACUCGCUGUUUGCGAUAUACUGCAAGCGGCCAAGCGAAAGCGUUAAGUAUUCCACCUGGGGAGUACGCCGGCAACGGUGAAACUCAAAGGAAUUGACGGGGGCCCGCACAAGCGGAGGAACAUGUGGUUUAAUUCGAUGAUACGCGAGGAACCUUACCCGGGCUUAAAUUGCAGAUGAAUUACGGUGAAAGCCGUAAGCCGCAAGGCAUCUGUGAAGGUGCUGCAUGGUUGUCGUCAGCUCGUGCCGUGAGGUGUCGGCUUAAGUGCCAUAACGAGCGCAACCCUUGUUGUCAGUUACUAACAGGUUCCGCUGAGGACUCUGACAAGACUGCCAUCGUAAGAUGUGAGGAAGGUGGGUAUGACGUCAAAUCAGCACGGCCCUUACGUCCGGGGCUACACACGUGUUACAAUGGGGGGUACAGAGGGCCGCUACCACGCGAGUGGAUGCCAAUCCUCAAAACCUCUCUCAGUUCGGACUGGAGUCUGCAACCCGACUCCACGAAGCUGGAUUCGCUAGUAAUCGCGCAUCAGCCACGGCGCGGUGAAUACGUUCCCGGGCCUUGUACACACCGCCCGUCAAGCCAUGGGAGCCGGGGGUACCUGAAGUGCGUAACCGCGAGGAGCGCCCUAGGGUAAAACUGGUGA